CAGUAGCCGCGGUAAUACGUAUGUCACAAGCGUUAUCCGGAUUUAUUGGGCGUAAAGCGCGUCUAGGUGGUUAUGUAAGUCUGAUGUGAAAAUGCAGGGCUCAACUCUGUAUCGCGUUGGAAACUGUGUAACUAGAGUACUGGAGAGGUAAGCGGAACUACAAGUGUAGAGGUGAAAUUCGUAGAUAUUUGUAGGAAUGCCGAUGGGGAAGCCAGCUUACUGGACAGAUACUGACGCUAAAGCGCGAAAGCGUGGGUAGCAAACAGGAUUAGAUACCCCCGUAGUCCCUGUCUCUUAUACA
rnacentral:rRNA from 1 species